UGGGGAAUAUUGCACAAUGGGCGAAAGCCUGAUGCAGCAACGCCGCGUGAGUGAUGAAGGCCUUCGGGUUGUAAAGCUCUGUCUUCUGGGACGAUAAUGACGGUACCAGAGGAGGAAGCCACGGCUAACUACGUGCCAGCAGCCGCGGUAAUACGUAGGUGGCAAGCGUUGUCCGGAUUUACUGGGCGUAAAGGAUGCGUAGGCGGAUGCUUAAGUCAGAUGUGAAAUUCCCGGGCUUAACUUGGGAACUGCAUUUGAAACUGGGUAUCUAGAGUGCGGGAGAGGAUAGUGGAAUUCCUAGUGUAGCGGUGAAAUGCGUAGAGAUUAGGAAGAACACCAGUGGCGAAGGCGACUUUCUGGACCGUAACUGACGCUGAGGCAUGAAAGCGUGGGGAGCAAACA
rnacentral:rRNA from 1 species